rnacentral:rRNA from 1 species
CUACGGGAUGCAGCAGUGGGGAAUAUUGCACAAUGGGCGCAAGCCUGAUGCAGCCAUGCCGCGUGUAUGAAGAAGGCCUUCGGGUUGUAAAGUACUUUCAGCGGGGAGGAAGGGAGUAAAGUUAAUACCUUUGCUCAUUGACGUUACCCGCAGAAGAAGCACCGGCUAACUCCGUGCCAGCAGCCGCGGUAAUACGGAGGGUGCAAGCGUUAAUCGGAAUUACUGGGCGUAAAGCGCGCGCAGGCGGUUUGUUAAGUCAGAUGUGAAAUCCCCGGGCUCAACCUGGGAACUGCAUCUGAUACUGGCAAGCUUGAGUCUCGUAGAGGGGGGUAGAAUUCCAGGUGUAGCGGUGAAAUGCGUAGAGAUCUGGAGGAAUACCGGUGGCGAAGGCGGCCCCCUGGACGAAGACUGACGCUCAGGUGCGAAAGCGUGGGGAGCAAACAGGAUUAGAUACCCGAGUAGUC